rnacentral:rRNA from 1 species
GCGUUGUCCGGAUUUAUUGGGCGUAAAGAGCUCGUAGGCGGUCUGUCGCGUCGGAAGUGAGAACCCGGAGCUCAACUCCGGGCCUGCUUUCGAUACGGGCAGACUUGAGUACUGCAGGGGAGACUGGAAUUCCUGGUGUAGCGGUGGAAUGCGCAGAUAUCAGGAGGAACACCGGUGGCGAAGGCGGGUCUCUGGGCAGAAACUGACGCUGAGGAGCGAAAGCGUG